UAUACGCCAUUGAUAAACUGACGAUCAAAUACAAACUGCGUAUCGUACAUCGUUAGCGGUCCGUAUGUCGGCAUCGAAAAUUUUCAACGUCUACAGCGAGCACAUUAUUUCACAAGUGAAAGGCCCGAUGGAUUUCGUGAAAGAAAAAGACGCUAAACUAUCGACGAAAUUCAUGGAGCAAGGAGAAACAAAGAUUCACCUGGCUGUGUGCAGCGGCAUUCUCGCUACCUGCGGUAGCUUGUUUGGUAAGCUAGCCGGUGGCGCUGAGUUCGUCUUCUUGAUACCGAUGGUGCUAAAAGUAAGUCUCCUCGUGCUCAUGGUCGUGACUAACACAAUAGGCUGCACAUUCUUCGUAAAAGCUCUGAACGGAAGUGAAUCUUCUUUACCUGCUACGGUUGCCAGUACAGCGAUGAAUUAUGUUUGUUCGGCGUUCCUCGGUUUUGUAAUAUUCGGCGAGUCGACCUCCUUAACUUGGUGGUGUGGUGCAUCCUUGGUAAUCCUCGGCUUGAUUCUCAUCUGUUAUACACCAAACAAAGAAGACUCUACGAGCCAGCAGCGGAAGCUCAAACAGCAAUAAUUUACAGAAAGCAUUUUUGCAGUCGACUUUGUAAGAGGAACGAGUGACUCAGAUCGUUACUCAGGGAUGCGAAGACUCGUGAUAUGCAUGGUAAAGCUCAGCCUCGUCGUACCAUCAUGUCUCUUUUUUAUUUUUAUUUUCACUCGGAUUCUUUCUCAUUGUACACGGUAGAUUGAAAAUCAAUUUAAACGUCAUUAAAAAGUCUUCACCGUUUAUCGCAUUUCGUUGCACCGCAAAUGGUUUUAAUUAAAUACCUAUGGAUUUUUUUAUUUUGUUAAUAAUAGAUAUGACUAAUUCAAUGAAAAGAAAAAUUAUUAAAAAUUACUUUAAUGAUUAAAACGACAGAGACUCGCUGUUAUUGUGGUUUUGUACAAAUGAAUCGUCUUCCUACAAACUUGUAAACAUAUUUCGUGUCGUGGCGUACGAUAGGAAAACACGUUUACUUCUUCACGAUACAUUACGCAAAGAUCGAUGUUAAAUUUUUCUCGAAUCGUAUCAAUAUCCAAUGCACAUGCCAACAUUCCUGUCGUAUUUAAAAAUUAUAUAUGUAUAUAUGUACAUGGAAAUGAGAUCGCAAAUAGAAAUAAAUUGGCGAAAAGUCGGGCUUCCGGUUCUCGAAAUUUAGGAAAGUUUAUGGCAAGCAUCGUCGAUGCCUGCAAUGCUUUACGCUUUAGCACAGUUUCUAAAGAUAUCGGCAGCACGGAUUCCAAGUUCGAAAAAUUUGGAAAUAUCUACGAUCAAUACGUUCGUGAAAACACUCGUCAUAUAAUACGUAUAUACAUAUAACAUAAUGUAAAGAAAAAGAUAUCUCGCUAAAUUAAAGUAGGUUGGCACGUUUCCAAGUAAAUCGUCUGUCGUCAAUGCCGCGUAAUUUAUUUUAUCGAUUUGACUGUAAUCGAUAUUAUUGCAGUACGUCGUUCAAAUGAAACUCGUUCUUUUUUUUUCUUUUUGUUUUUUUCUUAUUCCUUGCGUCCACACUUCUUCUCUUUCAUUCCAUUUUUCUUCUUUCUCAUAGGAUUUAGAUCAGACAUUAGCUUUCAUCUCUUGCCUCUUUGAUCCUAUAUCUCUUGUCUUUCGUGACUAUAUCUCUAUGUCAAACGUUUACAAUCAGUUUUAUUUACAUUUUCGUCUGAAAAUAUAAAUCCCUCGUUGAUUGUAAAUAAGUGUGUAUUCCCUUGGGAAGAGCCACUUUCGAACGUUUACAUUUAUUCAAAGGCUAAAUACUCUUGUGGAUUCGCGAAAAAAAAAAAGGAGGGUAAACGCGAAAAGACGGAUCGAUAUUUCGAUUACACACGAUAUGUGU